UUUAUAAUUUUGUGCACCGUUUAAGAAGAAUUGGUCCAAAGAUAAAUAAGGGGCCCAGAUCUUUCCUUUGGUAUUUAUUUUUUCACUUUGCAGUAGCUCACAUAGCACUAAUGGGAAAGAAUAUGAGAAGAGCACAAAAAGAGAGAAUAGUCAUGCUCUAGAGGCUUUGGAGUCAGUUACAUGACUUUGGCAGAAACUCUGCAACUUGUAUGACUUUAGGAUGGAUGGAGUUACUUGAACUACUGUGCUCAGGCUGAAACAACUGCUGAGUUCCACCAGGGGCUGCUGUUGAACUUCUAAAAAAGAUCAUAUUUUGGAGGAGAAGGUAGUAAAAUGAAUCAAUAAAAGGAAGAAGGUAAUGGAAAAUACCAUAGGAGCCACUCAACAUGGUGGGGACAAGGGAUCAGAACAUCCCGCGGUUUAAAUCUCUCUCAUUUGUGAGGACCCUCACUGGAUGGUCAGCAUCCUUUCAUUCAUACCCUGACACCACCUGCUGAGCCACUAGAACAACCCGCAUCUCUAUAAUGUGGCUGAGGCUCUCCUUUAACCCCGGGCCAUGGGAGAAAAGAAAUUUUGAAAAUGAACGACCGAAUGGACCUGGCCCAGGGACACCUAGCUGAGACUGUCUCUGGGAAGAAUGACAUGCCUUCAGCAUGAAGAAACUAUAAGAAAAAGACAUGUAAUUAACCG